rnacentral:rRNA from 1 species
AGCUUGCUUCCGCUGACGACCGGCGCACGGGUGCGUAACGCGUAUGCAACCUACCUCAUACUGGAGAAUAGCCCUUGGAAACGAGGAUUAAUGCUCCAUAGUAUCACAGAUUCGCAUGUUUCUGUGAUUAAAGAAUUUCGGUAUGAGAUGGGCAUGCGUCCCAUUAGCUUGUUGGUGAGGUAACGGCUCACCAAGGCAACGAUGGGUAGGGGGCCUGAGAGGGUGACCCCCCACACUGGUACUGAGACACGGACCAGACUCCUACGGGAGGCAGCAGUGAGGAAUAUUGGGCAAUGGAGGCAACUCUGACCCAGCCAUGCCGCGUGAAGGAUGACUGCCCUAUGGGUUGUAAACUUCUUUUAUAUGGGAAGAAACUUAUCUACGUGUAGAUAACUGACGGUACCAUACGAAUAAGGAUCGGCUAACUCCGUGCCAGCAGCCGCGGUAAUACGGAGGAUCCAAGCGUUAUCCGGAUUCAUUGGGUUUAAAGGGUCCGUAGGCGGUCUUUUAAGUCAGAGGUGAAAUCCUAUCGCUCAACGAUAGAACUGCCUUUGAUACUGAAAGACUUGAGUUAUUGUGAAGUGGUUAGAAUAUGUAGUGUAGCGGUGAAAUGCAUAGAUAUUACAUAGAAUACCGAUUGCGAAGGCAGAUCACUAACAAUAUACUGACGCUGA